rnacentral:lncRNA from 12 species
AUGUUUUCACACCUGGUUAAGUGUCCAUAUUUCCUUGCAUCCAAACAAGAAGGCAACUUCUCUUAUCUCGUCUGUGAGCUGAGUAUUUUUCAACCUAAGAGAAGAAAUGUAUGGAGGCUUACUAAAUCUGGGAACACCAGAAAGAGCUACAAGAAUCUUUGUGGAUUGCAAAGUGACCUGCUGGCCAAUGUCCAUAGCAUCCCUGGCUUCUAAAUCCUGCUAAGGUAAAGUCACUGCUGGGAUAUUGAGAAAAAAAACAAUGCCUGAUGCUCACUCCUGCUUCUCGGCAAGUAUAGAAGACACUUUUAUGCUAUUAGCUGCUAUUUGUGUUAAUACAGAUGCUAUUAUCUGAUUUAAACAUCAAAGGUCUGAUUUUAUUUUGCUUUUGCCCUGGAGACAAAAAAAAAAAAAAAUGAAAGAAGAAAGAAAGGAAGGAAGAGAGGAAGGAAGGAAGGGAGGAAGGAAGAAAGAAAGCCAGCACCAUUUUGAAAAGAAAAGCAUCUAAUAAUUAAAUAUACUUUCCCAGAGAGCUGAGGAGCAGAUGUUCUGUCUCUCUCAUGGAGUGGGAGGGUGUGGAUACUUACGGGAGUUGUACCCAGAGCACAUUUCAUAAUCUUAAAAAGUCAAGAGG